rnacentral:rRNA from 1 species
UGCCAGACUCCUACGGGAGGCAGCAGUGGGGAAUAUUGCACAAUGGGGGAAACCCUGAUGCAGCAACGCCGCGUGAGUGAAGAAGUAUUUCGGUAUGUAAAGCUCUAUCAGCAGGGAAGAAGAUGACGGUACCUGAUUAAGAAGCCCCGGCUAACUACGUGCCAGCAGCCGCGGUAAUACGUAGGGGGCAAGCGUUAUCCGGAUUUACUGGGUGUAAAGGGAGCGUAGACGGCAGUGUAAGUCUGGAGUGAAAGGCGGGGGCUCAACCCCCGGACUGCUCUGGAAACUGUACGGCUGGAGUGCGGGAGGGGCAGGCGGAAUUCCUGGUGUAGCGGUGAAAUGCGUAGAUAUCAGGAGGAACACCGGCGGCGAAGGCGGCCUGCUGGACCGUAACUGACGUUGAGGCUCGAAAGCGUGGGGAGCAAACAGGAUUAGAUCCCCCGGUA